AAUAAGUACUGUUUUAGCUUUAUUCAUGUUUAACGUUUCACCGUUCGUCUUAUUUGAAAAAAGUUUAUGAUUAGUAUUUUUGUUGUUAUUAGAUGAUAAAAUAUAAAUAGUACUUUAUGUAUGACUAAUUUUUUUAAUAUUUUUUAAAUAAGACGGAUGGUUAAACUGCUAAACACGGAUAUUUAUGGCUACACUUAUU
rfam:Oryza sativa Japonica Group DNA, chromosome 2, cultivar: Nipponbare, complete sequence.